GGUUUGUGUUUCCUCCAUUAUGGUACUAUGCCACUGUUCUUUACUUUGGGAAUUAUUAUCUCAAAGAUCCAAGGGAGCGAUCUGGCCUCGCCGCAUCAGCAAUUGCUGCUUUGAUUUGCUCUGUUGCUCUCUUGGUUGUUCUUCUUACUGUGAUCUUGUAGCAAGUAUUUCAGUGCCACCAGGUACUUUGGUUCAACCAUGAAUAGAUAGGAUAGGAGCAUAGCAGAUUAUUGUGGUAAGGAGAAAGCCUUCUAAACUAUAAAUUGCAGAGUUUGUGACAUUCUUCCUGUAACAAAAUUCUUAGUUAUAUUACUGCAAAAUUUAUGAAUUUGUUGUGUUGAUAA